rnacentral:rRNA from 1 species
UGGGCGUUUGAUCAUGGCUCAGGACGAACGCUGGCGGCAUGCCUAAUACAUGCAAGUCGAGCGGAAUGAUGAGAGCUUGCUCUCUGAUUUUAGCGGCGGACGGGUGAGUAACACGUGGGCAACCUGCCCCUAGCACUGGGAUAACCCCGGGAAACCGGGGCUAAUACCGGAUACGACUCCAGAGGGCAUCCUCAGGAGUGGAAAAAUUUAUUGGCUAGGGAUGGGCCCGCGGCCUAUCAGCUUGUUGGUGGGGUAACGGCCUACCAAGGCGACGACGGGUAGCCGGCCUGAGAGGGCGACCGGCCACACUGGGACUGAGACACGGCCCAGACUCCUACGGGAGGCAGCAGUGGGGAAUAUUGCACAAUGGGCGAAAGCCUGAUGCAGCGACGCCGCGUGAGGGAUGACGGCCUUCGGGUUGUAAACCUCUUUCAGCUCCGACGAAGCGAAAGUGACGGUAGGAGCAGAAGAAGCACCGGCCAACUACGUGCCAGCAGCCGCGGUAAUAUA